GGUUCUGUAGUGUAGCGGUUAGCACAUCUGCUUUACACGCAGAAGGUCCUGAGUUCACAUCUCAGUGGCGCCA
rnacentral:tRNA from 1 species